rnacentral:rRNA from 1 species
AUAACGACUCUCGGCAACGGAUAUCUCGGCUCUCGCAUCGAUGAAGAACGUAGCGAAAUGCGAUACUUGGUGUGAAUUGCAGAAUCCCGUGAACCAUCGAGUCUUUGAACGCAAGUUGCGCCCAAAGCCUUCGGGUUGAGGGCACGUCUGCCUGGGUGUCACGC